UCGGGAAUUUUGGGCAAUGGGCGAAAGCCUGACCCAGCAACGCCGCGUGAGGGAUGAAGUAUUUCGGUAUGUAAACCUCGAAAGAAUGGGAAGAAUAAAUGACGGUACCAUUCAUAAGCUCCGGCUAACUACGUGCCAGCAGCCGCGGUAAUACGUAGGGAGCGAGCGUUGUUCGGAUUUACUGGGCGUAAAGGGCGCGUAGGCGGCGCGGUAAGUCACUUGUGAAAUCUCUGAGCUUGACUCAGAACGGCCAAGUGAUACUGCUGUGCUAGAGUGCGGAAGAGGCAACCGGAAUUCUUGGUGUAGCGGUGAAAUGCGUAGAUAUCAAGAGGAACACCUGAGGCGAAGGCGGGUUGCUGGGCCGACACUGACGCUGAUGCGCGAAAGCCAGGGGAGCAAA
rnacentral:rRNA from 1 species